UACCGGAUAAUGUCUUCGGACCAAAGAUUUAUCGCCUUUAGAUGGGCCCGCGUUGGAUUAGCUAGUUGGUAAGGUAAAAGCUUACCAAGGCGACGAUCCAUAGCUGGUCUGAGAGGAUGAUCAGCCACACUGGGACUGAGACACGGCCCAGACUCCUACGGGAGGCAGCAGUGGGGAAUAUUGGACAAUGGGCGAAAGCCUGAUCCAGCAAUGCCGCGUGAGUGAUGAAGGCCUUAGGGUUGUAAAGCUCUUUUACCAGGGAUGAUAAUGACAGUACCGGAGAAUAAGC
rnacentral:rRNA from 1 species